UCUCAAAGGCUUUUCAUUGGAAAACAGAAAGAAAUUUCUGAAGUUUGUGACAGGUUGCUCUCGUGGACCAUUGCUGGGUUUUCGAUAUCUUGAACCUUUGUUUUGCAUACAAAGGGCUGCUGGUACUGCAUCGGAGGAAGCUCUUGACCGAUUACCAACGUCAGCUACUUGUAUGAAUAUGCUAAAGCUUCCACCUUAU